rnacentral:lncRNA from 1 species
AUGAUGGAGGCAGCAAGAAAAUAUUCUCUAACAGUUGCAUUUUUGUUGGCCUUUUUGAUCAUUGCAACAGAUAUGGCUACAGAAUCACAAGAAAGAGGAGUGAGUGAGAAUACUCAACAAGCCUGUGUCAAUGGUUCUGAUUGUUUAAGUAAACACUUUCCUUGCCCACCCUACAUGGUUCCUUUCUGUGUUGAUGGUUCGUGUAAAUGUUUUCAUGAGUAA